rnacentral:ncRNA from 2 species
GAAAUUAUAGGUGAUGGGGUUCACCUUAAUUGCCUUGUGCUGAUAACUCCUACUUUUGU